rnacentral:rRNA from 1 species
GAGUUUGAUCAUGGCUCAGAUUGAACGCUGGCGGCAUGCCUUACACAUGCAAGUCGAACGGCAGCACGGGAGCUUGCUCCUGGUGGCGAGUGGCGAACGGGUGGGUAAUGCAUCGGAACGUAUCCUGGAGUGGGGGAUAACGUAGCGAAAGUUACGCUAAUACCGCAUAUUCUGUGAGCAGGAAAGCGGGGGACCUUCGGGCCUCGCGCUCUUGGAGCGGCCGAUGUCGGAUUAGCUAGUUGGUGAGGUAAAGGCUCACCAAGGCGACGAUCCGUAGCAGGUCUGAGAGGAUGAUCUGCCACACUGGAACUGAGACACGGUCCAGACUCCUACGGGAGGCAGCAGUGGGGAAUUUUGGACAAUGGGGGCAACCCUGAUCCAGCCAUGCCGCGUGAGUGAAGAAGGCC